UGGGGAAUAUUGCACAAUGGGCGAAAGCCUGAUGCAGCAACGCCGCGUGAGUGAUGAAGGUCUUCGGAUUGUAAAGCUCUGUCUUUUGGGACGAUAAUGACGGUACCAAAGGAGGAAGCCACGGCUAACUACGUGCCAGCAGCCGCGGUAAUACGUAGGUGGCGAGCGUUGUCCGGAUUUACUGGGCGUAAAGGGUGCGUAGGGGGAUGUUUAAGUGAGAUGUGAAAUACCCGGGCUUAACUUGGGUGCUGCAUUUCAAACUGGAUAUCUAGAGUGCAGGAGAGGAGAAUGGAAUUCCUAGUGUAGCGGUGAAAUGCGUAGAGAUUAGGAAGAACACCAGUGGCG
rnacentral:rRNA from 1 species